GACGAACGCUGGCGGCGUGCCUAAUACAUGCAAGUAGGACGCAGUUGCGAACGGGUGAGUAACGCGUAGGUAAAUACCUGUUAGAGGGGGGUAACUAUUGGAAACGAUAGCUAAUACCGCAUACUAGUAGAUGGACCUGCGUUGUAUUAGGUAGUAGGUAGGGUAAUGGCCUACCUAGGCAAAGAUACAUAGCCGAGUUGAGAGGGUGGUCGGCCACAAUGGGACUUGGGCACGGCCCAGACUCCUACGGGAGGCAGCAGGAGGGAAUCUUUGGGAAUGGGGGGAACCCUGACCGAGCCACGCCGGGUGAGUGAAGAAGGUUGUCGGAUCGGUAAGCUCUGUUGUGAAGGAAGCGGUACUUAACCAGAAAGGGACGGCUAACUACGUGCCAGCAGCCGCGGUAAUUC
rnacentral:rRNA from 1 species